rnacentral:lncRNA from 1 species
AGAAAAUUGGUUCCUCGUUUCUCAUGAACUGUUCUGCUGCAAAUGAGCCAAAAUUCUGGGGGGAGUUCUGAUGAUCCAGAGAUUUUUUGGAGCCGCAGUUAGAGGCACCAGGCCUGGAAAGAGAACAAUUAGAUGAAGGGUCAGAGAGAGCUGAUGAGGGUGAAGAGACACAGGAAAUAUUGUAUCCUGGGAGCUAAAACAACUUCUGAAGCAGUUUGUCGCAUAGAGGAGCCAAUCUUCUACUGACUGACAGUCCCAACAAAUAUUUCUGUCACUCCCUGAGCAAAUCCCUCAUCCUCAGAGUUGGACGGUUGCCUCUCUCUUGCUUUUGCUCAGCUGAACAGUAUCUUCCUCUCCUUUUGGAGUGUGCAAAAGCAGACGACGCUAGCUUACCUUUGCUUUCCUCAAAGGCCAUAUGUGAGACCAACAGCAAGGGCUUCUGCCAGUCCUCUUCGGAAAUGCUAAUGGAGAACAAAAAUGCAAGAGAGUAACCGAAGAGGGGGCUUUCCAAAGGCUCAGAGCAGAUGCAUAUUGGAAAGAGAAGAGUCUUAUUCCAAGCCUCCUCUUGCAUUAACCAGGAUUUGGGCCAAGUAUCAGGCAUGCUCUCAAGAGCCUAUUCCAAAGGGUAAGAAUUUCUCUUGGUUACUUCUGCAAAGCAUUACCCCCAUCAGGCCAAACCUGCCUGAUGGUAGGUAAGGGAUUAGGAUGUGACCACGUCUAUCUUUGUCUAGGUCAGUAAUGCAGAUCAACAGGGGCUUCACACCAUGAACAGAAGGAAGAUGUGGCCCUAACUGAAGAUUUCCCAAAGAGGAGCUUUAAAUGAUACAAUAAACGUUGGCCAAAGCCCA